CACUCUGCGGUUGAUGACAGCACUGCUGCUGAGCCUCUGUGAUUGCGUCUCAAAGUACACGCUCUGAUGGACCGUGG